CGGCACAGAGGCCGCGUGGGACGGCGUGCGUCGACUGUGCUCCAUUCCCGGGCAAUGUCCGUGCGCAAUGCAAUUGGGGGGACUGUGUGAUGUUGUCUUGGUGUGGUCCGGGAAUGUUUUUGUUGUUGUUUUGCUACCUCGCCCCAGCACGAAUGUAUGUACUUAUGCAAUGUUACCUUUAUAUUUAUUCAUGUUUAGUGACUUGCUUACCUUUGAUCUAGUUUGCACUCCUGUGAUUGUUUUUGUAUUGUUUGUUGUUGUAACUUGCUGACCCGCGACUUCUGGACAUCUAUCAACAGGAGCUUUAUAGCUCAUCGGAAUCCUCAAGUCUCGAUAAAGAGACUGAGUCUGUACAUUAAACAACAGCAGCCAGUGGGAAUCGGACCUUUGGUGUACCGUGGUACAAAUGCAUCGAGAGUCCCUCUCGCGCUCCCGUCGAGUGGAGGUCUCUUCGGACAGCGGCGGCGUGAGCGGCAAUUGCAGGGCUGAGCCCUGACCUUUCUACACAGCGUGUGUUGGUGGUUGCCUCUCGGUUCCCGUGGCGUCUGCCCCCGUCGGGGACUCGUGAGAGGAGCUGGAGGAGUGGACGUCCAUGGACACGGGACAUCCGACGCAAACACACGUUUAUAUUUUAAGACAAUUACGUUCCGAACAAUGACCUUGAAAACAAUUUAUUGUACCAGUAAGUUUCAGAAACAUACAUUUCUACAGGGUGGUCCAAAAGUCAGGACAUGUAUGAUAAUUUAUUUUAACACUGGCAUUAGAAAAUGUAAUUAUUUAUAAUGGAAGCUAAUGUUUAAUUUAUUAUCAUGAUGAAUAUUGAUUUUUUCUUCUCCUAUGGGGUCACCUCCAGUCUGUCGUUUACACAACUCGACCAAGAACCCGGAGUGAAUUGAAACGAAACAAAAUUGGUGGAUAUUCAAACAUUACACCUGCGAUCUUAUAAUAAGUUCUACAUUAAUUAUAAAAACGAAUCCAUGCGUCCAUGAAUAUUAAUGAAAGUCAAUUUGAACAUUUGUUAAAAUUAAAAAAGAGAACAUGUCAUUUGUUAAGUUAAAUAUAAGAGCCCGAUACGUGUUGACUUUUUGGCCACCCCAUGUAGUGCACAUACGGUGAUUUUUGCAUUCAUGUUUUGUUGUAACGAAUGUAAUUUGAAAAUCCGAAACUGUCAAAUUUUGCUCCAAUUAAAUAUUACUUUUAUUUCUCUGA